AGUGAACGCUGGCGGUAGGCCUAACACAUGCAAGUCGAACGGCAGCACAGUAAGAGCUUGCUCUUACGGGUGGCGAGUGGCGGACGGGUGAGGAAUACAUCGGAAUCUACUUUUUCGUGGGGGAUAACGUAGGGAAACUUACGCUAAUACCGCAUACGACCUACGGGUGAAAGCAGGGGAUCUUCGGACCUUGCGCGAUUGAAUGAGCCGAUGUCGGAUUAGCUAGUUGGCGGGGUAAAGGCCCACCAAGGCGACGAUCCGUAGCUGGUCUGAGAGGAUGAUCAGCCACACUGGAACUGAGACACGGUCCAGACUCCUACGGGAGGCAGCAGUAGGGAAUAUUGGACAAUGGGCGCAAGCCUGAUCCAGCAAUGCCGCGUGGGUGAAGAAGGCCUUCGGGUUGUAAAGCCCUUUUGUUGGGAAAGAAAAGCAGCAGGUUAAUACCCCGCUGUUCUGACGGUACCCAAAGAAUAAGCACCGGCUAACUUCGUG
rnacentral:rRNA from 1 species